UGCCCAGGGAUGGGGUGUUGGAAGUCUCUUCUGUGGGACAGGGCAAGAAGAGGACGGAGCUAGAAUGAGAACAGCUAGCUGCAGGCGUGUGUAGGGGAGUGACACAGGACGUUAGCGCCUGCUCCCUGUUUAGCAAAGAGGGUGUGGAGAUUCUUUGAUGGUUUUCAGACUCUCCUCCUUUGCUCCCCAAAGCCCCAACUUAUCCACUGUGGGAGUUGGGAGGACUGAGAAACCAAAGUCCCAGGCCCAUAUGAUGGAAGGUUCCAGGCCCUCACUGCACUCCACUGCAAGCUAUCUUGGCUCACCCCCUCCCCCACAUGUCACCUGCAGCCCGAGCCCUCCUGGGUGGGUGUGGCCAGCUGAAGCAGAGUGAGACCUUCCAGUAUUUGACUUGGUGGCUUGAGAGCCCUGGCAGAUGCCACGUUCAUCCCUGGGCAGUGCCUGACUAACCAGGAGAAAGGAGGCUUCUGCAGCACUGCUUUCUCCUGUGGGGCCCUGGCCCGUCAUGGAGGCCCUUCCUCCCCUUCUUGGACCCCAGAGAUCACUGGCUGCCUCUCUCCCUACUCUGGGGCCACCCAACCGUGCAGACCAGAACCCCCUUCAGUGCCACCCCGAUCCCUACCAGGCUGCACUGAUUCUAUCACAUUUUCAGACUUUUCCUGGCCUCCCUCCAGAUCCAGUCCCUGCCCACCCA
rnacentral:lncRNA from 1 species